rnacentral:rRNA from 1 species
GACGAACGCUGGCGGCGGGCUUAACACAUGCAAGUCGAACGGAAAGGCACUGCUUUUGUGCGGUGCUCGAGUGGCGAUCGGGUGAGUAACACGUGAGUAACCUGCCCUUGACUUUGGGAUAACUUCAGGAAACUGGGGCUAAUCCCGGAUAGGAGCUCCUGCUGCAUGGUGGGGGUUGGAAAGUUUCGGCGGUUGGGGAUGGAUGCGCGGCUGAUCAGCUUGUUGGUGGGGUAGUGGCUUACCAAGGCUUUGACGGGUAGCCUGCCUGAGAGGGUGACCGGCCACAUGGGGACUGAGAGACGGCCCAGACUCCAACGGGAGGCAGUGGUGGGGAACAUUGCACAAUGGGCCGACGCCUGAUGCAGCAACGCCGGGUGCGGGAGGACGGCCUUCGGGUUGAAAAACGCUUUAGCCUGUGACGAAGCGUGAGUGACGGUAAUGGGUAAAGAAGCACCGGCUAACUACGUG